UACGUAGGGUGCGAGCGUUAAUCGGAAUUACUGGGCGUAAAGCGUGCGCAGGCGGUUCGCAAAGUCUGAUGUGAAAGCCCCGGGCUCAACCUGGGAACUGCAUUGGAAACUAACGGGCUCGAGUGUGGCAGAGGGGGGUGGGAAUUCCAACGUGUAGCAGUGAAAUGCGUAGAGAUGUGGAGGAACACCGAUGGCGAAGGCAGCCCCCCUGGGGCUAACACUGACGCUCAGGCACGAAAGCGUGGGGAGCAAACAGG
rnacentral:rRNA from 1 species